rnacentral:lncRNA from 1 species
UUUGAUAAUACUGUGAACUUGUCUUUUGUUAGUUGUAACACCUAAUCACAACCCUUUCCUGAUUAAGUAAACAUAUGAAAAUUCUAAAAAAGAAAAAGGACACUUUGAAGCCUGCGUCGUAAAUAAAAUAAGAGCUUGUAAAUUCUUACCAAUCUUCAUUCAGAACUUUGUACCUUGUAAACACCAGAUUCAAUAUCUUCUCUACGAACUCCUAAUUGUAUUCCAUUUUAACUUCUCCACUUGGCCUUGGAAUCAAUUUGCUUUUUCUUUCCAUUUGUAGCGGCAAACGGGAACUGGUGAAGAAGAGUUUAAUCCAAGAAAUUGAUCGCAUGAAAUCAAUGAGGUGAGGUAACUUCGUUGUCGGUCCUUGUUCCUUAUUUAUCGUGUGAGCUGAGCAGGGCAGGGCAGGGCAGGGCAGAGCAGAGCAGAGCAGCCCCUUUUUCUUUUUGGGUACGAAAGUAACGAAACUUCUGAAUCAUGUUUCGGCUUAAUUUGGUCUCCAAUUUCUUUUUUAUAUUUCAUGGUUCACUUUAUGAUGAUGCCUGUAUAAGAAUUAAUUCAUUAAAUUACAGAUAAGGGAAGAAGGCAAGGAAGAUGAUCACUUACUUCCAAAGAAGCCAAGAUCCAAUAUGGCCGUUGGGUUUCCUAGCACGGGGUUUGGGAUUAUGGGUGAGAAAUAUGUAUGAUGUUAUGGAUUUACAGUGGGG